GAAGAGCUCAAACGUAUUUCACAAGCCAUCAACACCCCCAACCCUCCGCCUUCAAGGAGGUGCUGCACUUCCCGCAUCUCAAGUAGCCAAGUCCUAUACCAGGAGCUUCCUUCCUGUGAAUGAAACAAAGGCACACUGAAGACACAAUGAAUGCCUGAGGAAGUAAUAACUGCCACUCCCUCCAAAGCACACCUCAGUUUUGACAACGAAAACAUUAGAAGGGCCACUUCCUGGCUACUGUUAAGUAAAUGCGCACACAGUCAGCUGCAUUGUGUCCCCGGAGGGCCAUCCAUCUGGUGGAGAGUCGCUGGUAAAGCUGCCUAAAAAAAAAAAAUAAAUAAAAAGGAACAAAAACAAGACACAAAAGCAAAACUGUAAGUAUGGAGUCAUCUUCCUAGACCAAGUCCCCUUCAACUCAUGCCAAACCUCCUUAGCCCCCACCACAACUUUCUGGUGAAUUUUCACCAAAUUCUCCCACCACAU